UAUUACACUGUAUUGGAAUCGCUUCUUUUCUCUUUCUCUGUGAAUUUCUUGAGAGCACAGACUACAUUCUGCUUAACUUUUUAUCCCCAGCUUUCAGCACAGUGCCUGGCUUGUCUGAGGCGCAUGGCCCCGGGAGAGGAGGAGAAUGGGACGGUGGUUCAGAUCUGCUGAUGUAGCUGUGGUCAGUCACUGGGGAGAAUAGGCCUGUGGAUUUCUGCUCCUCUGAGAUGGAUCCAUCACUGACUACUGAACUUGUUUUCUCAUUGGCUCAACUUAAGAAGGUUCUAGAGAAUGUCAAUCAACCUUCAUGUUGUGUCUACGCUCAAUCAUCCCUGAUGACCCUACGCUGACUACAGAUGCAGAAUUCAGCAAAAACCAAUGAAAGCAUUCGGUGAGAAUCAAUGGCUAUAUGGAGCUUACAAUAAACCGUAUUGUGUAUUUUAUUAUUA
ensembl:lncRNA novel transcript, antisense to C7orf33 and CNTNAP2